rnacentral:rRNA from 13 species
UGGCGUGACGAGCGGUGUGUUCAAGGCUAGGAAUUCGUU